CCUACGGGAGGCAGCAGUGAGGAAUAUUGGUCAAUGGACGUAAGUCUGAACCAGCCAAGUAGCGUGCAGGAUGACGGCCCUAUGGGUUGUAAACUGCUUUUAUGCGGGGAUAAAAUGUGCCACGUGUGAGUUUUUGUAGGUACCGCAUGAAUAAGGAUCGGCUAAUUCCGUGCCAGCAGCCGCGGUAAUACGGAGGGUCCGGGCGUUAUCCGGAUUUAUUGGGUUUAAAGGGAGCGUAGGCGGUAUGUUAAGUGUGCCGUGAAAUGCCGUGGCUCAACCAUGGAACUGCGGCGGAAACUGGCUUGCUUGAGUGCAGGGAAGGUAGGCGGAAUUCGUGGUGUAGCGGUGAAAUGCUUAGAUAUCACGAAGAACUCCGAUUGCGAAGGCAGCUUACGGGACCGCUACUGACGCUGAGGCUCGAAAGCGUGGGUAUCGAACAGGAUUAGAUACCCGAGUAGUC
rnacentral:rRNA from 1 species